UACGUAGGGUGCAAGCGUUAUCCGGAAUUAUUGGGCGUAAAGAGCUCGUAGGCGGUUUGUCGCGUCUGCUGUGAAAACUGGGGGCUCAACCCCCAGCCUGCAGUGGGUACGGGCGGACUAGAGUGCGGUAGGGGAGAUUGGAAUUCCUGGUGUAGCGGUGGAAUGCACAGAUAUCAGGAGGAACACCGAUGGCGAAGGCAGAUCUCUGGGCCGUAACUGACGCUGAGGAGCGAAAGCAUGGGGAGCGAACAGG
rnacentral:rRNA from 1 species